AGUGAACGCUGGCGGUAGGCCUAACACAUGCAAGUCGAACGGCAGCACAGUAAGAGCUUGCUCUUACGGGUGGCGAGUGGCGGACGGGUGAGGAAUACAUCGGAAUCUACUUUUUCGUGGGGGAUAACGUAGGGAAACUUACGCUAAUACCGCAUACGACCUACGGGUGAAAGCAGGGGAUCUUCGGACCUUGCGCGAUUGAAUGAGCCGAUGUCGGAUUAGCUAGUUGGCGGGGUAAAGGCCCACCAAGGCGACGAUCCGUAGCUGGUCUGAGAGGAUGAUCACCCACUCUGACACUGAGACCCGGCACACACCCCUGGGGGGGGCAGCGGUGGGAUAUUGUGGACAAGGGGGGAAGCCUUCGCCCCCCCAUCCCGGGUGGGAGAAAGAGCCCGUGGGGUUGAAAACCUCUUUUUUGGGAAAAAAAAAUCGGCAGGUUAAUCCCCCGCUUUUGUGGGGGUCCCAAAAGAAAAACCCCCGGCUCUCUUUG
rnacentral:rRNA from 1 species